UCAUGGUGGUUAUUUUGGGAUCCUGCUCUCUUUUGUCAAUCUGGUUUCCCUGAAGUUAUGUAAGGCAGCUGGAGUUGAGGAGAGAGGGUUGAGAAGGAAAUCCAUGUUCUGUCUGUGUGUCUUCUCUAGCUGGGCAGGAUUGAGUCCAUGUGGGCCCAGACAAGUCGGUGUUCAGGGGGGUUCAGAGCAGGGUCAGUGCAGCAGGCACAGAGCUCAGGGAAGUGGAAUUCUCCUGAUUCCUGCCUGGCAGCAGGGAUGUGCUGCUUGGGCAGCCCUAGGGUGUUGGCUGGUUCCUGCCCCUGGUGUCUGCAUUCCCAGUUUUGUUUGGUGAUUUCCCUGUGACUUUGUUCCUGAGGGUUUGUGCAGCAUCGCAUCCAGGAAUCCCUUCUUCAGGAUGUGUGAGAGCCCGGGGAGCUCAGGAGUGUGUGAGGAGUGGGGAGCUCGUGUCGUUCCCUGGCAGUGCUGGGAUCUGCUGGCCUUGGAAACCUGGCACACACAGAGCUCUGAAACCCCACACAGCCUCAUGCUCUGGCACAGCUUUGGUGUUCAGAGGUCAUUUCAGCUGUGCAGUGUUGGCGUUUCAUUCACAUUUGGUGGAAUUCCUUGAGGCUGCUCUGUCCUUUGGGAUGCUUACCCUUGAACAGCUGUAACUUGGGCAGGUCUUGUUUCUGACCUGUGAUUUUGUAAAUAAUUUUCUGCUAAAGCCAGGUUGGAAUUAAGCACGUAAAAGGUGGAGUGUGUGGUUAUGUGCAAUGUUUUAACUCCUGCUGUGGGUGAAUUCUGCUCCUUUAUGUCAGAAUUAGCACAUUCUGUUCCUCUGUGACUCACGUGCAGUGUCACCACUCUGCUGUAGACCCCUGAGUGUCACAGAGCAGGUGAAGGAUCACCUGGCUGCUGCAGGGAGCAGAACACAGCGCACUGAGAAUCUCACACUGCCUGUGCUGUGCUCCCCAGCACACCUUAAAUCAAACUCCUGACGAGACUGGAAACACGAGCUGCUCUCCAGAAAGGAGAUCCAAUAACUGCACCAAAUGUGCAGAAUUAUUGCAAGCCUUCUGGGGCUGCUCCACCAGAGCUGUUAGUGCUCAAGCACCUUGUUUUUCAGAUUGUAAAGCUGCCCCUUUAACUCCUGUUUGAAGGACAAGGCUAAACACAGAAGCUGAAAUAUCUGCCAGGGAAUUCAUGCAGUGCACGUGUGAGUUCUGGGCGUACAAGAGGAGCUAAAGGAGAAAAUAAUAUUUUUGGAGAGAGAAUGCAUAAGGAAACCUGACUGUAGCAGACUCUUGCCUAGUGAGGGCACUGAUGGAGCUUCAUAAUCAAGAUCUAGGAAGACAAGAAAUUACUGAGCUCAUCGGGCUGCAGCCACUCGAAUAUGUGAUCAAAGAGCGUUUCCAGUG